rnacentral:rRNA from 1 species
CCUACGGGAGGCAGCAGUGGGGAAUAUUGGACAAUGGGGGCAACCCUGAUCCAGCCAUGCCGCGUGUGUGAAGAAGGCCCUCGGGUUGUAAAGCACUUUCAGUGAGGAAGAACGCCUGGUGGUUAAUACCCAUCAGGAAAGACAUCACUCACAGAAGAAGCACCGGCUAACUCCGUGCCAGCAGCCGCGGUAAUACGGAGGGUGCGAGCGUUAAUCGGAAUUACUGGGCGUAAAGCGCGCGUAGGUGGCUUGAUAAGCCGGUUGUGAAAGCCCCGGGCUCAACCUGGGAACGGCAUCCGGAACUGUCAAGCUAGAGUGCAGGAGAGGAAGGUAGAAUUCCCGGUGUAGCGGUGAAAUGCGUAGAGAUCGGGAGGAAUACCAGUGGCGAAGGCGGCCUUCUGGACUGACACUGACACUGAGGUGCGAAAGCAUGGGUAGCAAACAGGAUUAGAUACCCCUGUAGUC